rnacentral:tRNA from 1 species
GCCCUCGUAGCUUAAAAUAAAGCAUGGCACUGAAGAUGCUAAAAUGAGCCCUCAUAAGCUCCGAAGACA